GCUGGUCUCGAACUCCUGACCUCAAGUGAUCCGCCCACCUCGGCCUCCCAAAUGGCCAGGAUUACAGGCGUGAGCCACCGUGCCUGGCCACUAACCCACUUUUGACCUAAUCUCCCCUGCUGUAGGAACUUGAACAAGAGUAUGGGGAACCCUUUCUGGCUGCCAUGGAAAAGCUGCUUUUUGAGUACUUGUGUCAGCUGGAGAAAGCACUGCCUACACCGCAGGCACAGCAGCUUCAGGAUGUGCUGAGUUGGAUGCAGCCUGGAGUCUCUAUCACCUCUUCUCUUGCCUGGAGACAAUAUGGUGUGGACAUGGGGUGGCUGCUUCCAGAGUGCUCUGUUACUGACUCAGUGAACCUGGCUGAGCCCAUGGAACAGAAUCCUCCUCAGCAACAAAGACUAGCACUCCACAAUCCCCUGCCAAAAGCCAAGCCUGGCACACAUCUUCCUCAGGGACCAUCUUCAAGGACGCACCCAGAACCUCUAGCUGGCCGACACUUCAAUCUGGCCCCUCUAGGCCGACGAAGAGUUCAGUCCCAAUGGGCCUCCACUAGGGGAGGCCAUAAGGAGCGCCCCACAGUCAUGCUGUUUCCCUUUAGGAAUCUCGGCUCACCAACCCAGGUCAUAU
rnacentral:lncRNA from 1 species